GCUUAGCGUCUGUUUGAAGAUUUUUAUUUGUAUUUAUUUAUAUAUUCUUUUUUUUUUUGGGAAAAAAUGGGCUUUUGAAUGGUAAGUUUUAGGAGUCUCCUUGGUUAAAAAGCAAGGAUAAGUUUUGGGCUUACGUGAAGAAUAUUUUAUUGUGAAAAUGUGUGGUUGAAAAUGAGUAUGAGAAAAAAAGAAUGAGAAAGAAUGGUUGAAACAGGGGCUUAGCUUAGAUUUUGCAUGUUCUCCAUGAUUUUCUAACAAAUUUAUUAAUUUAUCUCCAUUCUCAUUCUUCUCUAGUCAUUUCCACUUUAUUAUAUUUGCUUAUGCAGCUUUGGGUCCUUUUUAUGUAAAUAUGUCAUCAUCCUUUUUGCCAAUUUCUCCUGCAUUCUAAUUGCUACUAUAUGUGGUUUCUUGGGUUUAUUUAUUAGUUUAUCCGUACAUCCUUUUGUAUUACCACAGUGGCAUGGAACUAACUGUCAGCUUUGGCUUCAGUGCACAAAGCAAAUUAUUUACUGCUUACAGAACCUUAAUCUGCUGAUCUCACGCGGCUUUCUAGAGUGAUUAUUAUUUUUGAUAUAUUAUUCUAAAAAUAGGAAGAUCUAGAACAUUCAGUAGCUGAGGUUAUACCGUGAUGUGUACCGACUCGAAAGGCUGAGGAAAAAGGGCUCAAAUUUGCCAUGUAUAUGGUUGUCCCAUCUUCCUCUCCUGUAUCUGGUUCUGACAUAUUUGAUAUCUGUUCAUUUGGAAGUGAGUCUGUGGUGUUUGGCAAAUGGAGGCUUGCAUGAUUGCCAGUUUAUUUGCACGGCGUAUUAGUUACACUUGUUGUCCAGGAUUGUUAGGCUUAUGAAAUGUAAAUCAUCUGAAGAUAUAACUGAUAUACCUUCUGUGUUCUCCAGAAUCCUCCUGAAGUACAUGCAAAUGCUGCAGAAACAUUAUGUGCAAUAACCCGAAAUGCUCCAUCACCUCUGGCUGCUAAACUAUCCAGCCCAAGUUUUGUUGCAAGGAUAUUUGAUCAUGCACUUAAAGACUCAUGUUCAAAAUCUGCCCUUGUGCACUCGUUGUCUGUGUGUAUUUCUUUGUUGGAUCCAAGAAGAUCAAUUUCUUCACCUGUAAUGUAUUCUUUCAAAAAUCAGCAUGUGUACGAAUUGGCUAAUCGUGAUACUGUUGGUGCAAUGCUUCCCAAACUGGGGGACUUGCUGACUCUGUUAAGAGUGUCAUCUGAUGAGAAGAUUCUACCUACGACUUAUGGUGAAUUACGGCCUCCUUUUGGGAAACACCGUUUAAAGGUUUGUAUGUUAAUUUUGGUUAUUU